GCCGGGCGCGAUGGCUCGCGCCUGUAAUCCCAGCACUUUGGGAGGCCAAGGUGGGAGGAUCACUUGAGCCCAGGAGUUUGAGGCCAGCCUGGGCAACAUGGUGAAACCCCAUCUCUA
rnacentral:SRP_RNA from 2 species